rnacentral:misc_RNA from 1 species
AGUUGAUUCACCUCCAGUUGUAGCACCUUCAGCUGACAACAGUUCCACACCUAGCUCCGGUAUAGAGAAUUCCGACACCACAAUAAGAACCAGUGAACUGGUAGAUAGUGAAAGCAUCAAAACUCCAGAUGAGGUAGCAGCGAACUCAAACGAAAAUCAUGCUUUCGGUCAGUCUUCAAGUUUUAAAAAGUCUGAGGUAGACCAAUGAGGUGAAGUUUGAAUAUGUUAUAACAAGAUGUUUUUCCCAGUUUCCCCCAUUGUAUAGUCUCUGAAUGUAUAUGUUGUUAUGCCCUUCCUGUAACAACUUCAUGUUGGCGAAAAUCUAAUGUACCAUAGAUAGUUUUUGUUGUGGUUUCAAGCUUUGUAUCAUGAAAAUUUUAGAAAAAUCAAGAG